rnacentral:rRNA from 1 species
GACGAACGCUGGCGGCGUGCCUAAUACAUGCCAGUAGAACGCUGAAGGAGGAGCUUGCUUCUCUGGAUGAGUUGCGAAUGGGUGAGUAACGCGUAGGUAACCUGCCUGGUAGCGGGGGAUAACUAUUGGAAACGAUAGCUAAUACCGCAUAAUAGCAGUUGUUGCAUGACAACUGUUUGAAAGGUGCAAUUGCACCACUACCAGAUGGACCUGCGUUGUAUUAGCUAGUUGGUGGGGUAACGGCUCACCAAGGCGACGAUACAUAGCCGACCUGAGAGGGGGAUCGGCCACACUGGGACUGAGACACGGCCCAGACUCCUACGGGAGGCAGCAGUAGGGAAUCUUCGGCAAUGGACGGAAGUCUGACCGAGCAACGCCGCGUGAGUGAAGAAGGUUUUCGGAUCGUAAAGCUCUGUUGUAAGAGAAGAACGCGUGUGAGAGUGGAAAGUCCACACUGUGACGGUAUCUUACCAGAAAGGGACGGCUAACUACGUG